UACGUAGGGGGCAAGCGUUGUCCGGAAUUAUUGGGCGUAAAGAGCGCGUAGGCGGUCCGGUAAGUCGGUUGUGAAAGUCGGGGGCUCAACCCUCGGAUGCCGAUCGAUACUGUCGGGCUAGAGUCCGGAAGAGGCGAGUGGAAUUCCUGGUGUAGCGGUGGAAUGCGCAGAUAUCAGGAGGAACACCGAUGGCGAAGGCAGGUCUCUGGGCACUUACUGACGCUGGAGGAGCGAAAGCGUGGGGAGCGAACAGG
rnacentral:rRNA from 1 species